GAACUGAAGAGUUUGAUCCUGGCUCAGAUUGAACGCUGGCGGCAUGCCUUACACAUGCAAGUCGAACGGCAGCACGGGG
rnacentral:ncRNA from 1 species